rnacentral:rRNA from 1 species
UACGUAGGGUCCGAGCGUUGUCCGGAAUUAUUGGGCGUAAAGAGCUCGUAGGCGGCUUGUCGCGUCUGCUGUGAAAUCCCGAGGCUCAACCUCGGGUCUGCAGUGGGUACGGGCAGACUGGAGUGCGGUAGGGGAGAAUGGAAUUCCUGGUGUAGCGGUGGAAUGCGCAGAUAUCAGGAGGAACACCGAUGGCGAAGGCAGUUCUCUGGGCCGUAACUGACGCUGAGGAGCGAAAGCGUGGGGAGCGAACAGG